AAACACUUUCUUUUGGGAUUUUCGAUUUUUAAAUGAAUCAAACAAACUUUUUCUGUUCUUUUUCGUGGCUUUAAAGUAUGAUGAACAGCAAGAACAAAAAUAUGCAGAAACAAAACUUGAAACAAAAAGAAACAGUUUUUAUGGAUUUUCGGUUUAUGAAUGGAAAAACAAAUGCAAGCAAGUAUGAGAUGCAAGGAUAGAUAUCACCUGUGUCAGGAGCUUAAGCUCUGAUACCAAAAUGUUGUAGGCACAGGGGGGGUAACCCACGAAUGGAUAGAAUGGUGGAACCAAGGUUUCAACCUGAAAACAAGAGAACCGAUUUUUAUGAGUUUUU
rnacentral:lncRNA from 1 species